AGCAAAGCCAUUUGGGCAGAACAGCUUCUCAGCUGCUCCUCUACACUUGAGGGUACUUAGGGCUCUGUACAAAGAGGCCCCCAGAAAUCACAGAAACCCCACAACAUGCGAGUUAAACUGAUGGCCUUAAACACCAUGCAGAAAGCUCUUCCACCGCCUGACCCAAUCCCCGCCAGAAGAAAAGUGAUUUAGCACGAUCGUGAGAGAGCCACCUCGACUUUGGGAUUGUGAGGAGCUAAACCACAGCUAUGGGGCUACGGCAGGGGAAGGAGGUGGUUUCUGGCACAGCACCAGCCUCUCCCUCCACCCCGCUCCUCUCCGCCCUCACCGAGCCAGCUAGACACGGGCAGACUGUGGAAUUCCUCCUGGCUGUCCCGCUCCAGCCACUCCGCCCAGAUGGGAUUUGCAAAGCCCUUGCCUGGUUUAAGGAGGUUUUGAGGCCAGAAAGGUGGUGUUUUCAUGGCAACAUAACUACUAGGCAAUAGCAAUGUUGCUGUUAACCCUACUGAAGUUAAUGCAGCUGAAGAGGCCUUCCUCUCCUGCUCAGUCAGUAAAACACCAGUAUCUAAUUUCCAAUAAUAUAGGAGUUUUAAGAUAGAUUUGCCAUCCUGCAGGGAAAGGACCCUUCUUUUCCCAGUUGAAGAGAAACCUGCAGAGCAACUGCUCAAUGAGAGGCAGCACAACGAGGUAAGAGUGAGAUGGUUUUCAGAAGAGGCGUUAAAGUGCACUAGCUUGGCAACCCCAGCCAUCACAUUCCUUCCUACCUGCAAUAGUUUCCUUCUCUGAACCCCAGGCUGAUGCCUUCCAGCCACAUCCUUUCCUCUUGCCAUCACUGAAGUCAGUGUUAUUAACACGAAUGCAGGGCACAUUUCAAGCCCAAAGUCCGGAAAACAGAGUCCUUAUCUCAGUCCCAGUGUUGAUGCUGUUGCUGAUGAAGAUCAGUUUACCCUGCAUAGCAAAUAGUCCAUAGUAAAGCAAGGGAAUUUCAAGGCUCCCAACCAGCCCUAUGAAUAAUACAUUCAGUAAAAGCAUUAAUUCACAAGUUUAGAUAUCAGGAAAUUGCACUCUGCUCACAACACGUGGCCAUAAAGAGAAGUGGCAAUACUCAGGUAAUAAAACUCACUGGCUAUUUGAAAACAGCUGCACACACCACUGUUUGAACUACUUUUCUUCAAGUAUUUUCCCUUCUAUGGAAAUAAUCUUGCUCCUGGUGGUGAUGGCUCUCUUCUAGACUAUUGCAUUUCAAGGCUUUGCAAGCUGGAAGAUGAUCCUGCGCUUACAUGAGGGCACCAGCCCCACGCUCUCGCUGCUGCACAGCACUGGGCAUUGCACUAGGGCACUACAUGGGCACACAACAGCACGGGGCAGAAUAGCAUCAUCUCUCAUCCUGCACAACAGAGCUGACUUCAGUAGGCACAAGCCCCAAGGAAGAGGGCCCAGGGAGUUUGGGGGGGAACUCAAUCCAGGACCUCAGUUGAGUAGGAGAGAACCAGAGGCAACAGGGAGCAGCCUUAGGUGACCAAACACGGGAAUCCCCAAAAUUCAGAGCGUUAAACUCAUCUCAGCCAAGGAUCCUGCCCUGUGACAGGACCAUGGUAACGCAUUUUGUGAAUUUGUAUGAAUCUAGCUCCCAGCGUGCUUGGGAACAUGCAGCAGUUUUUCUUUAAAGACCGACCUUGCCAUUCAGCAAACCAUUUCAGCGAACUCAAUGCCUUCCCAAGCUGCCCACACAGAUUCAUCUCCCCAGUUUGAGAGAUUUUUCUCAUCACCCCACUUCUCCUGAGUUAACAAUGACACUCAGUGGCCAGGAGGAUUCCCUGCAGUCUAUACUCAUGGUACAGCAUCCAACAGUUAGUAAAUACCCUUUAUAUGUAUAUACACACAGCAAAUGUCUUCCAUGAGUUUUGGGAUUCUAAGACAGGGCUCAAAUUAUACAGAAAGGCCACGGAAGGCCAGGCUUAAGAGAAAGGUGAAAGAAAACCACAAUCUUUUUUUCCAAUUUGUGCAGUGAUCUGGGAAAUAUUUUCCAUCAAUCCACAUCCAAGCUAUAAAAAAAAAAAAAAAAAAAGCAGACCAGAGGAAGCAAAGGCAGCUCUAGACCAAAUCAUUAAACAGGCGCAUUCAGACACUUGUAGUCAAAGCAAAUCACACUGCUACCAUACAAAUCCUAACCAUGAGCUGUACAGUUGCAUAUUUAUAACACAGAACUUCUGUUUCAUUAUCCUCCCCCACCGCCAAGGGUGGAUGCAGAACAACCACAUGCGGUACAGCCUGCAAGUCUGCCUUGAGAGCUUUGUCCUCCUCUUUCCUUGGCACAACAGAAAUUUUAUCUCCACUUCAGUUCUGGUAAGCUGGAGCCUGAUGGAUAACCCAAAGAGGAUCAAAAGAAAAUGCUACUGUGCAUGAACAAAUAGUUGAUGAAUAAUUUGAGUCUAUUGUCAAACAGCAUUUAAUCAGGAGGUUUGAAGGAUUCCUAUACAUCUCUCCAGCCAUACAAAUCACACUGGUAUGAUGCCUUUCGUCUUUGAUUUAGACACUCUACUAUUCUUCCAAUGAAUAAAACAUCUGAUUUGCAGCAUUCCUCCACUUGAAGAAAACAAGAAGUAAUUAGGUAUCAUGUUUUGGCCAUUGCAACAUUAGGUAUUGCCUAGAAUCGGUUUCUCAUAGUAAUUCUCCUUUUCCCUAAAGCGUUGUGCUUAUUAUUUUUCAGGAAACAGUUUUGCUUUUCUUUUUUCUUUCUUUCUCUCAGUAUAUCAAUUCUGGAUUGCACCUUAGGCAGAAGCAAAAAAGCAGGAAUUAUUCUUUCAAUUUAUUUUACAAUGUAUAACAUGUAAUUUUAAGUGCAUGCAUACACUGACAGAAUCUUAAAAUAUAUAUUUUACUCUUUCUAACAGUAGCAGUUCUGCCCAUUUAAGAUUGCUUGCUUCUUUCUGAACUGGAAUAUUAAUACAACACAAAGGAAAAGGGUUUCCAUCCUGUUUAUUUGCAAAAGGAAAUCAUUUAAAUGUUACACAGGGUUGUUGGUUUUAUUCUUUUCAUUGUAGGAUAACUGUAUUUUCCAUCAUUCCAGUGAGAACAUCAAUAAGAUAUACCUUAUUAUUAAACAUUAUUACAGCUGCCAAGUCAAACACUCAAAAGACAGGAAAUGCAAGAAAUCAAGUUUGUCUCCCAGCAGGUGUGAAACUGCUACAUUUCAAAGAGGAGAUACAGAAUUAUUAUCAGAACUCUUCAAUAUUCAGUGUUCUGUCUCUUUUCGGGCUGUGAAUCUGGAUAGCUUCAGAAAGAGAAGGUG